rnacentral:rRNA from 1 species
AGUGAACGCUGGCGGUAGGCCUAACACAUGCCAGUCGAACGGCAGCACAGUAAGAGCUUGCUCUUACGGGUGGCGAGUGGCGGACGGGUGAGGAAUACAUCGGAAUCUACUUUUUCGUGGGGGAUAACGUAGGGAAACUUACGCUAUACCGCAUACGACCUACGGGUGAAAGCAGGGGAUCUUCGGACCUUGCGCGAUUGAAUGAGCCGAUGUCGGAUUAGCUAGUUGGCGGGGUAAAGGCCCACCAAGGCGACGAUCCGUAGCUGGUCUGAGAGGAUGAUCAGCCACACUGGAACUUAGACACGGUCCAGACUCCUACGGGAGGCAGCAGUGGGGAAUAUUGGACAAUGGGCGCAAGCCUGAUCCAGCCAUACCGCGUGGGUGAAGAAGGCCUUCGGGUUGUAAAGCCCUUUUGUUGGGAAAGAAAAGCAGCAGGUUAAUACCCCGCUGUUCUGACGGUACCCAAAGAAUAAGCACCGGCUAACUUCGUG